ACUACGGGUGGCAGCAGUGGGGGAUAUUGCACAAUGGGGGAAACCCUGAUGCAGCGACGCCGCGUGUGGGAAGACGGUCCUCUGGAUUGUAAACCACUGUCCCCAGGGACGAAGAUGACGGUACCUGGGGAGGACGCUCCGGCGCCCUACGUGCCAGCAGACGCGGUAAUACGUAGGGAGCGAGCGUUGUCCGGAAUUACUGGGUGUAAAGGGAGCGUAGGCGGGACUGCAAGUUGGGUGUCAAAUCUACCGGCUCAACCGGUAGCCGCACUCAAAACUGCAGUUCUUGAGUGAAGUAGAGGCAGGCGGAAUUCCUAGUGUAGCGGUGAAAUGCGUAGAUAUUAGGAGGAACACCAGUGGCGAAGGCGGCCUGCUGGGCUUUUACUGACGCUGUGGCUCGAAAGUGUGGGGAGCAAACAGGAUUAGAUACCCUGGUAGUC
rnacentral:rRNA from 1 species